CUACGGGGCGCUGCAGUGAGGGAUUUUGCGCAAUGGGGGAAACCCUGACGCAGCAACGCCGCGUGAGUGAAGAAGGUCUUUGGGUCGUAAAGCUCUGUCAACAGGGAAGAAGUUAUUAAUGUUUAAUAGAUGUUAGUAUUGACGGUACCUGUGAAGGAAGCACCGGCUAACUCCGUGCCAGCAGCCGCGGUAACACGGGGGGUGCAAGCGUUAUUCGGAAUUAUUGGGCGUAAAGGGCGCGUAGGCGGUUUUAUCAGUCAGAUGUGAAAGCCCGGGGCUCAACCCCGGAAGUGCAUUUGAAACAGUAAGACUUGAGUACGGGAGAGGAGAGCGGAAUUCCUGGUGUAGAGGUGAAAUUCGUAGAUAUCAGGAGGAACACCGGUGGCGAAGGCGCCUUUCUGGACCGAUACUGACGCUGAGGUGCGAAGGCGUGGGUAGCGAACGGGAUUAGAUACCCGGGUAGUC
rnacentral:rRNA from 1 species